UCCUACGGGAGGCAGCAGUCGAGAAUUUUUCACAAUGGGCGCAAGCCUGAUGGAGCGACGCCGCGUGGGGGAUGAAGGGUUUCGAUCCGUAAACCCCUGUCAUUUGCGAACAAACCUUCUGCAAUAACACUGCAGGAGCUGAUUGUAGCGGAAGAGGAAGGGACGGCUAACUCUGUGCCAGCAGCCGCGGUAAUACAGAGGUCCCAAGCGUUGUUCGGAUUCACUGGGCGUAAAGGGUGCGUAGGUGGCCGGGUAAGUUCGGUGUGAAAGCUCGGAGCUCAACUCCGAAAUGGCAUUGAAUACUAUCCGGCUUGAGGGUCGGAGGGGAGACUGGAAUUCUCGGUGUAGCAGUGAAAUGCGUAGAUAUCGAGAGGAACACCAGUGGCGAAGGCGAGUCUCUGGACGACUCCUGACACUGAGGCACGAAAGCUAGGGGAGCAAACAGGAUUAGAUACCCUUGUAU
rnacentral:rRNA from 1 species